GCUGUGUGGAAUAGCGAUUGGAGUUACAUUCGGUGCCCUAUCGCCUACUGCGGAAGUUGUCAAGGCACCAUCCGCUCUCAUACGUUUUGUGCAAGAAUGUUUUCGCCAACAAUCGAGAACGCUGUACUUGGUAGGCUUGGAGGGAAUGGUCAGCUAUCGAAGUUAUCUCGCCCUGCCAUAUCCUAAAGUGAUCGUACAGAGCGGCGUCUCCAUCGGUAUGCCCGAUGAGUCAAGUUUGAUAGUAUUGUUCGUAGAUUGCAGGACACGUAGCUUCAUGUACAGCACACUGAGCAUGAUCUUGCGUGAUUUUAACCGAAUCGUACGGAACGGAAAGUACCUCGUGCUGGUAGAGGAUGCUCUCCUGCGGCCCGGAAAUGGUUCGAUUUCGGCCGAUCUUGGACACUUCUUUGCAACGUACAACAUCGUGUACUGGUGUGUGACGGGAUUUCGGCAUGCGGCAGUGCUCCAGUACUCUUUAUAUCUUGCCCGACAUGUUCACACGAUCGGCAGCACGCUGACAUACGCACCGGUGUUUGAGUGGAGGCGAGGACUGAGGCGUGAUAUGAGGUUAACAAUCAACGGUAUUGCGUUAAGUUCCUUUCCAUACGUAUACUUGCGAGGGGAAGAGUAUCGUGGUAUAGAUGUGACAGUUAUGUUCACUAUCAUAAAGAAACUUGGGUACGUACUGGAAAUGCGCGUGGUAGAGCCGACGGUCAAUAGUGAUAGUGAUGUUGAGCAUAUAGUUGAUAGUUUGAGUUGGAUAAAUGAGGACAUAAUGCUCACGCGCAGACACGUGGAUCCGAAUAUUCUACCCGUUGUGUAUAUUGCCGAAGCUACCUACUUUUGUCUGGUCGCUCCACGCGCUUCGGAGAUCAAUCUAACCCAAUCGUUGUUGCGCCCGUUCUCGUACGGAGUGUGGCUGUUUAUCGUGGGCUGUGCAGUGGCAAUAAGUGUAUUGAGUGAGCUCUCGCAGUACGACACCCGAAUGGGUGUGUGGCUGAGGUGGAUCUAUUCCUGCCCCCCGCUGCCUUCGUUCUACAGCACCUGUUUCGCGGUCAUUAGCUUCAUCCUUAUCGAGUCGUAUCUCGCUACGGUGACAUCCUUCUUUCUUGCCUACCGGUUUGUUCCGGAUGCGAAAACAUUGGACGAAUUCUUCGCCACGGGCAUUCCGAUAAGGUUGGAGGAAGGAAUGGACGAUUUUUUGAACAAUCUUGAACCACGCGUAAGAGAUGUUAUAGUAGCACGAGCUGUUCGCGGUACGGAGUGCGAAGAGUUCUCUAGCGGAUGUGCCCAUUUGGAUACGUUCGCGAGAGCUUCGGUGAGGAUUAAGGAACUGGUUGGGGUAGAUCCGAUCAGUGGCCGCAAGCGAUCGUACAUUGUGCCGGAGAUGGUGGCAAGAUACAGCUGCAUGUCGUACGCGUUUGCCCGUGGCUCACCGCUGACCGAUGUGGUAGCGGUGUACCUACAGUGGAUGUAUGAAGCCGGGCUGAUGCGUUUGUUUCAUCAAGAUUACGAGCAGUAUCUGCAACCGAACGGUUAUGCACAUACGCUAGAAGAUUCGCUGACGUUUGAGCAUCUGAUGUCGCUGUGGGUCUGCGUCGGUAUCGGUUGGGGAGUGUCGUGCUGUGUGUUUAUUUUAGAACUGGUCCGAAAGGCUUUAAAUGAGCAUCUGUGAAGGAUCGCAAUUUCUAUCGCAAUUACUAUCGGAAGCACUAAUUAGUAGCAACAUAUUUGUUUGCAUGUGUAAUUAUCUCUCCCAAGAGACACAACAGGAACGAAGUGGUCCAUGUUUUGAAAGCAACACACUGAAAACACAAUACAGAAUUAUAAUUAUUAGGAAGAUAUAGGCAAUCUACUGCUUCGAGAGUAACAUAUCAUUGGCUUGGUCAAUACCAUGAUACCAUUACACGUUAUUUGGAUAGAAAUUUAGGUCAUCUUGGGCUCAGGAUACUCAGUAAGAUACUUUCACACACUUCAGUCAUACCGGCAAAGCACGAUGGCAUGGAAGCGAAUGGUAUUGGUUGGGCUAGCUGUUGGAGUUAUAUUCGCUGCUGCAACUGAACCUACGCAAGUGCCUAAGGCAAUCUCCACCUUGGUGGAAGAAUGCUUUCACCAUAACUCGAGAACGUUGUACUUGGUAGGAUUGGAAAAACUUGCCACUUAUGAGAGUUAUCUUGCCUUGCCGUACCCUAAAGUGAUCGUACAGAGCGGCUUCUCCAUCGGCACACCCGAUGAGACAAGCUUAAUCGUAAUGUACGUGGAUUGCAGCACAUUGAGCAACUUGCACAUCCAAUUCAAAGCGAUCAUGCGUGACUUUACCAGGAUCGUUCGAAAUGGGAAGUACAUCGUGCUAGUGGAGGACGCGUACCUUCCUAAGGGCAAUGUAGCGGUCGCAAUCGAGCUUGGAUCUGCGUUCUCAACGUACAACGUCGUGUACUGGUGUGUGACUGGGCUGCGCCGGGCGGCAGAGCUCCAGUACACGCUGUUCUUUGCGUCGAGAGUUUACUUCAUGAACGGUUCACUGACAUACGCACCGGCGUUUGAGUGGAACCGCGGCCUGUUGCGCAAUGUCACGUUCGAUAUCUACGCCCAGGCAUUGAUAUCCUUUCCCUAUACCCACUUCCAGGGCGAACAUCGAUCGUUUGGUGGGAUUGAUGUGAACAUUUUCGAAACCGUUAUGGAACGGAUCGGCUGUCAGCUGCAGGUGCGCAUCGUUCAACCAACGGAUAGUAGAGAAAAUGAUAUCGCGGACAUAACUGGCAGUUUGCAUCGGUUGAAGGCGGACGUAAUGAUGACGCGCCGACACGUGGAUGUGGGUAUUCUGCCCGUCGUGUACAUCCCGGACAUUACGUACUACUGUCUGGUAGCUCCACGCACUACGCAGAUCGACCUGACGCAAUCGUUGCUGCGUCCGUUCUCAGGCGCGGUUUGGUGGUUUAUCGUAGUGUGCACGGUUAUGAUAAGCGCAUUGAAUGAACUUUCCAAGCAGCACACUCGGUUGGGACGAUUGGGGCAACAGCUUUUCGCUCGCCAACCGAUUGCAUCCUUUUAUCGCAUCUGUCUCGCGAUCAUUAGCUUCGUCCUUAUCGAGUCGUAUCUCGCUACGGUGACAUCCUUUUUUCUUGCCUACCGGUUUGUUCCGGAUGCGAAAACAUUGGACGAAUUUUUCACCACGGGCAUACCGAUAAGGUUGCAGGAAGGAAUGGACGCAUUUUUGAACAAUCUUGAACCACGCUUGAGGGAUCCAAUAAUGGCGCGCGGUGUUGGCGCAUCCGUGUGUGCGCCAUUCUCUAGCCAGUGUGCUCAUCUGGAAAGCUUCGCGAUGGCUUCGUACGAGAUCAGUGAAAACGUCGGCAUUGAUCCGGUUAGUGGUCGAAAGCGGUCAUACAUUGUUCCGGAAAUGGUGGCAAGAUACAGCUAUUUAUCGUACGCGUUUGCUCGUGGCUCACCGCUGACCGAUCUGGUGGCGAUGUACUUAUGGUGGAUGUAUGAGGCCGGGCUGAUGGGUUUGUUUCGGCACCAGUACGAGCAGUAUCUGCAGCCGUCCGUGCACUUACUCACGGUGGUGGACAGUUCGCUGGAGUUUGAGCAUUUGAUGUCGCUGUGGAUCUGUGUCAGUAUCGGUUGGGGCGUAUCGUGCGGUGUGUUUGUCGUAGAAGUGGGUCACGGAUGGCUGCAAAGAGUUCUAAAAGGAAGGCGUCAGGUGGCUGGAAAUGCUGGAAAACAGGCUUGGUGUAAUGUGGCAAACAAAACGGGUCCAAUAGCUGGCACGAAGAGUGUGCAAUGAAUUGCCCUGAUAUCAGUGCAUAUUAACCCCUAUUUGCGGAGGAACAUUCGAUGUUGCACUAAUUAAACGUUUUAUUGUCGCUAAUUGCACCCAAGAGUACAAUAAAAGUAUCACCCUUUGGCACUGCCGAGUGGCUGCAAACACAAUGGUGCUUUGAGCGACGUAUCGGUCAACACGUUUUUUUAGUUUACUCAGGGGUCGGCAAGCUUUUCAAGUAAAUGGAAUAACAAAAAAAAUCCCUCAUUACGACUCUGUUUCCCGAGGGGUUGUAACUAGUCCGUGUACCCAAGCUUGACUAUGUGAUGACACAUGUUACCACGAACUUGUCUGGAUAGGAGUUAAGUAGGAGAGCCUAUAUUAUCCCUCAGAAGGGCUUCGGAUCCUAUCCCAUUGUAGAGCACAGAAGAAUCUUUGAAGCA